rnacentral:rRNA from 1 species
AGUGAACGCUGGCGGUAGGCCUAACACAUGCAAGUCGAACGGCAGCACAGUAAGAGCUUGCUCUUACGGGUGGCGAGUGGCGGACGGGUGAGGAAUACAUCGGAAUCUACUUUUUCGUGGGGGAUAACGUAGGGAAACUUACGCUAAUACCGCAUACGACCUACGGGUGAAAGCAGGGGAUCUUCGGACCUUGCGCGAUUGAAUGAGCCGAUGUCGGAUUAGCUAGUUGGCGGGGUAAAGGCCCACCAAGGCGACGAUCCGUAGCUGGUCUGAGAGGAUGAUCAGCCACACUGGAACUGAGACACGGUCCAGACUCCUACGGGAGGCAGCAGUGGGGAAUAUUGGACAAUGGGCGCAAGCCUGAUCCAGCCGUACCGCGUGGGUGAAGAAGGCCUUCGGGUUGUAAAGCCCUUUUGUUGGGAAAGAAAAGCAGCAGGUUAAUACCCCGCUGUUCUGACGUUACCCAAAGAAUAAGCACCGGCUAACUUCGUG